rnacentral:rRNA from 1 species
CCUACGGGAGGCAGCAGUGAGGAAUAUUGGUCAAUGGACGAGAGUCUGAACCAGCCAAGUAGCGUGAAGGAUGACUGCCCUCUGGGUUGUAAACUUCUUUUAUAUGGGAAUAAAACGUUCCACGUGUGGGAUUUUGUAUGUACCAUAUGAAUACGGAUCGGCUAACUCCGUGCCAGCAGCCGCGGUAAUACGGAGGAUCCGAGCGUUAUCCGGAUUUAUUGGGUUUAAAGGGAGCGUAGGUGGAUUGUUAAGUCAGUUGUGAAAGUUUGCGGCUCAACCGUAAAAUUGCAGUUGAAACUGGCAGUCUUGAGUACAGUAGAGGUGAGCGGAAUUCGUGGUGUAGCGGUGAAAUGCUUAGAUAUCACGAAGAACUCCGAUUGCGAAGGCAGUUCACUGGACUGCAACUGACACUGAGGCUCGAAAGUGUGGGUAUCAAACAGGAUUAGAUACCCGGGUAGUC